UUUGUUUUGAUUUAUGCAGCGUCAUUUCGCGUUUUUGCACUUGUGAAAACGUCGCACCUUUUACGUGCACCUCACAGUCAAAAUAGCGCCUUCGUCUUCAAGUGAGCGCUCGUCACCCUCCACCUUUCCCGACGACUCGCCUAGGGAGCUUCUGACGAAUUUCACUAGCAAAUGGCUGUAUAAGCCUGAGACGGCCGCUCGAACAAUGAAAUGGCCGUCACAUGAGGUACGGAAGGUUCACAAACCAAAACUAAAUUCGAAACGCGCGCCGAACCGGACUAUUUCGCGGAGCAGUACAUGUGCAGUAGCUCCGCCCCCGUAGCCUUCCCUUCAUUGCCAAGAAAAGUUGUCCUUGGGGGCGCUUUAGUUGUUUGACGGGUGCACGAUGCGCGCGGUUUGUGUGUGUGUGUGUGCCAUGCUGUGUUCUGCAAUGCUUCGUUACCACGUUUAUCGAUUAUGCACGUUGGUUACUUGAUUCAAUGUCAAGUGUACCUUCCAAGACGAUCUAGGUCCUAGUCUCGUGACUGAAGGCGAGUGCGGACGUACAGCAGCCUUUUGACAAGACUGUCGCCGAGUGUACGGUACAUUGUGGACUGUAAAGCUGAAGAGUGCACAGUGGAUGCCUGAUUUUGGAACCGAGUGUGAUCGUCUGGGCGGUGUGUUCACUCUGCGGGGAUGAUGGCCAGAGGAAGGAUGAUAGACAGACGACAGCUUGCAGACGAAGAUGGGAGCGUUCUACCUGUGAGCCUGGUCGAGCUUAUAUUUUAUGGUAGGCAUUUGUUUCAAUCUUUACAAAGAGCUUCGACAUGUUGCGCCUGCUCAUGAACCUAUUGCAACUUUUUUGAGGGAAUUCUAAGAUCAAAGAAACAAGACCCUAGACGUAACUCCAUUAAUGUAUACUUGAUGCUGGACUUGACCUUCUGUGUUGUUUUCCUGUUUUCUUACAGGAUUUGCUGAAAGUUUCUAUUGGAAAUGCGAUAUAAGAUGCAAUUUUGACUAACUCUAACUUCACAAAAGUGCUUUUUGUCAACUACCUGCACGGGGCCUUGGCAGUACAUCUAAGUGUUCUAAGGUGCACGAUGUGUUGGAUAAAGUUUUCUUUGCAACUCUUAUAUAUUUACUGCGAUCUUUCGUGCAGGAUACACAUGCAUGGAUACACAUACAUGGAUUCCCUACAAGGACCCUGCGCAUCAAAAGCAAUCUGUCAUCAAUGUUAAGUAGACAGAUUAAACGAAACGAAGAUAUGACAGGUGUACACCAUAUUUUUCUUUCAUUUAACCUCUGCAUGUUUCCCAGUCAAUAAAUGUUUUUAUCCAUUUUCUUUUGUUGAGAAAUGUCUUUGUACAGCACAAGUGUCGUAGAAGGUGCAUACAUGCACUUUUGUAUGAUGCUUGGCUGCAUGUGUAUCAACCAGCAAACACAU